UACGUAGGGGGCAAGCGUUGUCCGGAUUUAUUGGGCGUAAAGAGCGUGUAGGCGGCUUUGCAAGUCCGUUGUGAAAACUCGAGGCUCAACCUCGAGACGCCGGUGGAAACUGCAAAGCUAGAGUCCGGAAGAGGAGAGUGGAAUUCCUGGUGUAGCGGUGAAAUGCGCAGAUAUCAGGAAGAACACCCGUGGCGAAGGCAGCAAACCUGGUCCGUAUCUGACGCUGAGGCGCGAAAGCGUGGGUAGCAAACAGG
rnacentral:rRNA from 1 species